rnacentral:lncRNA from 1 species
UACAAUGACAAAUGAACUUGAGUCUCUUGGAAGGGUUAUUUUGGAAGAAGACAAGGUAGAGAAGAUUUUAACUAGAGUUUUGCCAAUCUCAUGGGAAAGGAAAAUCACUGCCAUUCAGGAAUCCAAAAAAUUGCUACUUUGAAAUUGGAUGAACUGAUUGGAUACUUGACUGCUUAUGAAUUGAGAAGGCAAACUAUGAAGAUGGAUGCUCCAAAGAAAGAGAGAAGUCUGGCUCUCAAGAUCUCAAANNNNNNNNNNNNNNCUGAUUGCCUAUGAAUUGAGAAGGCAAACCAUGAAGAUGGAUGUUCCAAAGAAAGAAAGAAGUCUGGCUCUCAAGAUCUCAGAAGGAUCAGAUCUUGAAGAUGAUGAAAUGGCAAUGAUAACUAGAGACUUCAAGAAAUACCUUAUGCGGGGAAAGGGCUCUUCAAGAGGACCAAAAUUCAACAAAACUAGGGCUACUGAGAAGCAGAUAAAUGAUGGUUGCUUCAAAUCUGGAAGGACAUAUCACAUGAUCAAGAACUGCCCUCAAUGGGAGAUUGACUGGAAAAAAGAAAGGGCAGAAAGGAGAAAUAGGAAGAAGGAACAGGUUCAACCAAGGAGACACAAAGGUACUACCAAAUCCAUGGUUACUACAUGGGGAGAUACGUAGAUGAAGAUUCAGAAAAUGAAGCUGAAGAUGAGCAAGCUCUUAUGGCCAUUGGAGAAUCUGAAGAUGAACAGGAGGUAAGUGUUCUAGCGCUUAAAGAAAAGAUUAAAUUCCUAUCUAACGUAAAAUUGACAACUCUUGAUGGACUUCAUAAAUGAGUCUGAAAUAAUAAACAAUGAGAAAGAUGUUCUGUCUAGGGAUUGUGCAAUACUAGAAGUGGACUUCAUAGAUGAGUCUGAAAUAAUAAACAAUGAGAAAGAUCUUCUGUCUAGGGAUUGUGCAAUACUAGAAGAAAAAUGCAAAAGACUAGAAUCUAGGGCU